ACGAGCCUUGGAGUGCACACAAACGAGCAGAUCAGCCGGCCGAGCUGGGCCCGCGCCGCUGUUCUUCCUCUCCCAACGUCACCAGCCGUUCCACUCCCAACCGAACGAACAAAGAAAAUAAACACUCCAAACCCAUUUCAAUUUUCAAAUCUGCUCCUCCUCCUCCUGCUGCUCCGCCGCCGCCGCACGUCCAAACCCCACCCCGUCGCACUCCCUCCCGAACCCUAAAUUCGCGAGCCGUCGCCGCCCGUGGCCCGAUGGGGUUCGUGGAUCCGGCGGCGCCGCUGCUGGCGACGUGCGGCGGUGACACGGUGAAGCUCUUCGACGUCACGGUGGAGUCCGGUGACCCCUGCGUCCUCGCCUACACCCCCGCGCCCGGCAACCCCGUCAACGCCGUCAAGUGGAACCACACCAAUCUAAUUGUAGCAAGCGCUGGGGAUGAUAAGAAGAUCUCAUUGUGGCAUAAAAAAGGUCAAAAUGUAGGACAGCUACCAACAUCCACUGUUGAUCGUGGUGAUGACAUAGAGGUAUCAGUGCAUUAGUUUGAUUUUGUGCCAAAAAAUAUAUUCCUUAUGGCCAUGCACGUGCUACUCCACUACUUUUGAUGUAACAUUCCAUAUUUCCAUUGGGAAAUCUAUGUAGCUUCUUGCAGAACUGUUACUCGUUUAACGAUUAUCAAUUGCAGGCUAGAAAUUUCAAAUCUUUGUUUAUAGACAUUGCUAUUAGUUAUUAAUUUCGUAUCCUUAUUUCCUUUCACGCCAAAAUCACCGGCAAGAACCAGCUAUGUGCAGACUAAUUGCCUGCACUGUACUCAUGUCUUUCUCAAAACAACUUGUUAUUAGGAUAAAAUUAAAUGUUGCACCCAAAUAACCCUUGAGGGCCAAAUGUCUCAUGUCAUUUUUAUAAACAUAACUUUUUUAGUAUUUUAGAUCAUUUAAAAUUUACGCUUCUUUAGAUUUCUUGUUUGCAUUGGCAACAAAGCAUCAUAAGAAAUUACACUGACACCUUUUGAGUAUAUUAAUUUAUUGUUAAUUGAGUUUCUUUGUAUUGUAUACCCUAAUAAUAUUAAAAGUAUGUUUUUAGUAAAUAUGCGUAUAGUGCAUGAGCGGUUCUCAAACUUGUUCGGGUUUAUCAUAUAGGUCUCCAUACUAUAAUCUGACCCCUAAACUUGUUAAUUGUGCCGCCCGAUUGAGGUCCAAACAUCAUUAAUCAGCAUAUACUUGCUUGUGUGGCAUGCUAGCAUGUUCAUCCAAGAGGGAGGGAUGAUGAUGUUAUGAAUGAUGAGUUGGGAGUUUUUGGGUGCAAUGGAUGCCACAUUGGCGCCAAGUAGGCUGAUCAACACAAGCUAGAGACGUUUGGACUUUGCACAUUUCAAGUGAACCACUUAGCAAGUUUAGGGUAGAUCCUCGAAUAAAUAGUCCAGAGACCUAGGUGAUACCUUUGAACAAGUUUUGGGACCGCUGGUGCACUUUACUCUACAAAAAUUUAGGCACCUUAAAUUUUCAAUCACUGUAGUGCUUGGUAGAUCUGAAAUUUUCAAUCAUGUACCUUAUAUGUGCAUAUGACACUUCUUGCCGUGUGUGUGAGAUUACUUAAUAACCAUCUGAUAAUAUUUCAAAACCUUUAUUUCUUACUUAACAAGAACAUGUGGUUGAACCUGACACUUAGACCACCCCCUCUAGCCACUCCGACCCUAAAACCCAGGUGUUAGAGUGGGGGAGAGGGGGGGUUUUAUCACUGGACCAACAUUCCCCCUACGGCGAGCGAGCCGCGCCGCGCCGCGCCGCGCCUGUGGCUGCUGGUCUCAGCGAACCCCGCAGGGGAAAUCGCGCAGCGGAAGAAAUGUGUGGCCGGAGUGCAUUUAUUCUAUCAGUUUUAGCAACAAAGGUUCUCGAUAUCUUUGCUCUGGUGGGAGUGGCCAUAUUGUCAGAAUAUGGGAUUUGCAGCGGAAGAGAUGUAUCAAAUGGCUAAGCGGUCACACUGACACAAUUACUGGUGUAAUGUAUAACUGCAAAGAUGAACAUUUGGCAUCGAUCAGCAUGAAGGGGGAUCUCAUUCUUCACAAUCUUGCUUCUGGAGCACGUGCUGCUGAACUUAGUGAUCCAAAUGGACAGGUGUUGAGAGUGCUGGAUUAUUCACGAAACAGUAGACAUUUAUUGGUGACAGCAGGAGAUGAUGGUUCUGUGCAUCUUUGGGAUACAACUGCAAAGUCCCCGAAGGUGUCAUGGCUGAAGCAACAUUCUGCACCCACAAGUGGUGUUUGUAUCUCGCCAUCAAGUGACAAGAUAAUUGCUACGGUUGGCCUGGACAAGAAGUUGUACACAUUAGAUUCAACGUCAAGAAGACCAACACACACCAUUCCUCAUGAGGCCCCAUUCUCCUCGUUGGCAUAUAAUGAUGAUGGUACUAUAUUAGCUGCAGGCACAAAUAGUGGACGUGUGAUAUUCUAUGAUGUCCGGGGAAAACCUCAGCCAUUGACCAUACUUCGUGCCUACAAUAGCUCUGAGGUUGGAAACCACAAUGAUCUCUGAACUCGUUUAUGUGUGCGGCUUGUUGACUUAAAGAUAAUGCACCAGUGGUAGUUUGUAUAUUGUAUUUGCACACAUAUCACAUCUACUUGUAUAAAAAUCUUUGAUAACUUAUACUCCCUCUGUUUCAAAUAUAUAAUGUUUAGGACAAUCUAAUUAGUUAUGUCACAUUAAAAAAAUGAGAGUAUUAUUAUUUUAUAUUAAGCGAACACGUUUGCUAACAUAGCUAAAGUAUGAUUGGAACUAAUAUAUUUUAGCACUGGAAGACUGACAUGAGUAUUUUCUUGUUUAGCUAUGAUAUGGAGGUCUUUUCAUCUGUUGAUAUUCCAAUUUUAUAUGUAUCCUUUGCUAAACAAUAACCUCAUAUAAUCUUAUUUUGUUGAGGAUGAGGAGUUUAUUGCUCUGGUCAAAUGUCAUAUACUUAAUAUGGGUAAUUCGCUCUUCCUGCCUACUACUUAAUCUUUCCUCAAAUGUUGUUUUUACAACUAUCCAGUUGUAUUCGAAACAUAUAAUGCAACUUAGGUUCACUGCAUGAGUGGCUGUUGGUAGUUAUAUACUUAUAUUAUGGAGGUUGACAGAUUUAAAAAUAAGGUAUGCCUGCAUGCACAUGUGCAGCUUAUGCAGAAAUACAUUUUUGUGUAAUGCUGAAUCAUUGUCAUUAAAACCUGAUAAGCGAUAUAUCCUUCUUAAUAUAUUGAUGUGCAGCUCUCUUGCGCGUUCGAGAAAAAAAAACCCUGAUAAGCGAUAGGUUAUCAGGAAAAAUGUUUAAGGAAAAAUGUUUAAAAUGAUGUGAUGGCGUUGACAUAUAACUGUUUCACAAAAUUCUUAUGCCAACACUCCACCCUUUUAAGUUAUCUUUAUCUUUUAACAUCUUUGAAUUUGUGAUGUCAGGCUGUGACAGGUUUAUGUUGGCAACGGUCGAAACCUGUCAUUGUUAAUGAGAACAGUUCUUCUGAAGUUGCUCUUCUUGGUGGAACUACUGAAGAGUCUGUUCUUAUGCCAGAUCCCUUGCCUUCGGCAACACCUACAAGUUUUUCUUCUGGAGUGGUCACUGCAGGUCUUCGCUCUUCUUUGACACCAAACACAUGUGGCUUUCUUUCGACCUCAAACUCUUCUACCAUGGAGGAAACUCCAUAUAGAGCGCGUCCGUUAUCUGGAGGACCAUUAUCAAAGCUACAGGCACCUCGUAGUAACUAUAAUCUAAAGGAUGAUAUGGAUGUCUUUUCUCCACUUGUUGAUGUCCAGCCUUUCACACCAUCUAGUGGCAGCUGGUGGGAUGAGCAUGUAAGUGAUGAUGCCAAAAAAGAUGAUAAACCAGGAGAAAAGAAGUUGUCAACAACUAGGAAGUUUUCGUAUAUGGAAGGCAAUGAUGAGCCUCAUCCGAUGUCAGAUUGGAGGUCUACUGCAAAUUUAAGACAGGACUUCUCAUCUGUGACUACUACAUCCAUGCUAUCAUGGAAGAAUGAACUGUCUACAUCUUUGCCAGAGGCAGGUGCUGGAAAUGCAUUACCAGAUAGGCUAACUCAACGUCAACAGCUCUCACGCUUUGGGGCUUCAUCCUUUUCAACAGGUGGCUUGGCCUUUACAGCCUUACAAGAUUCAUCUUCCGCCGGUCACUCGCUGAAGGGUUCUCUAACAAGUAACAUUUUAAUGAACCUACAAAACAAGGGCAUCUUGAGCAACUCACACUCUUCCCUGGAUGCAUCGUCCCCCAACCUUCAGAGUUCACUUCCCUCAUCCUAUGGUUCAAAGGCUGUUUCAUCUGUGAAUCCUGAUCAACCAGGAGCAGCACAAUCCAGUUCUAUGUGGAGACCAACAACAUAUACUGAUAAAAUGAGCUCAUCCUCUGUUUUUAGUGAUGGGUUAGCUUCAGCGUUUGGCUCACCAAAAUCAAAGAAGAUGGGAGCAGAAACAAAAGAUGAGUUGCUCAGUAGUAUUUUGUCAAGACAAGAGGCUGCAACUGCCUCUUCAUCCUCAAGCCCUCUAGCAAGCAAUGGGGUAGGGCCGCCACAAUUGUCAAACACAAGUGCUUCAACUGACCAACAGGGAGUUUCUUCCUUCUCACUUCAGUAUGUGCAGCGCAUGCUUGAAGAAUCUCUUGGGUCUGUUCAGAAGUCCAUCCAUGAGGAUGUGAGAAAUCUCCACAUUGAACUUUUAAGACAGUUUCACAUGCAGGAGAUGGAAAUGUCUGGCGUGCUGAAUUUGGUCCUGGAGAAGGUGGAAGGCCUGACAAAGGAGGUGCAGCAACUAAGAAGGGAGAACCAACAGCUCCGGCAGCAGCUUCUCUAAUCUAUGCUUGGCAGGAUGUGGGUGAACGGGUGCGGUGUUUUCAGUUCGGCAUUGUUGUGCUUUGUGGAAGGGGACCGGUUUAUCUGACAUGAUGUGACAAUGUGCCUUGGUCUACAUCAGAUGGGCCCACGCCCAUUGGACCCGCGCAUCAGCGACCAUGUCAAGGGCAGUUAUGUUAGAGGAUGUCCUUAGGGAAGUGGAAGACCGCAGUAUGCACGGAUUUCUGAGGUAGGCCCAGAUGAUUGAUUCCUAUGUUGGUUUGUCUAGUUCAUGACAAAUAGGAAGUUCAUGUUCGACACCGUUGUACAUAUAAGCUUCUUAGUUUAGAAGCAUAUUGAAUUAUCGGUUUCUCUAUUUGGUGGGCACGGUGGCACCUGGGCGCCCUAAUUUUGGAUGGCCUAUGUGAAAGACUAACAACAGAGAGGUUUUAAUGUAGCUUUUGUUAAUGGCCUUCUGUGAUAAACACUCAUCCUUAACAUAGCAUUAGGCUAGUCUCAGUGUACAUUUUCAUGACACAGUUAUCUAGAUUGAAACUAGGUAAUUGUGCUCAGAUGAGUUUUAUGGUGAUGAAACUUUCCUCACA